rnacentral:lncRNA from 1 species
AUAUAAUUGGAAACUUAAUUUAUGACACAGCUGAUCUUGCUGAUAACAGAAGAUAGAAAGAAAUUUUUAAAUAGUGCUGAAAUAACUGAUCAUGCAUGUGAAAAUGUCAAAACUGAAAUGUUACCUUACAUAUAUAAUAUAUUAUCUAAUAUAUUUGGAGCAACAAGUCACUCCAAAAACUUAGGGCUCAAAACAAUAAUAAAUAUCUUUUUGACACCGUUUCUGUAGGUCAGAAAUUCAGGAAGAGCUUCUCUGGCAGUUCUGUCUUGAGUUUCUAAUGAGGUUGCAGUGGAGAUGUCAGGUGCCACAGUCUUCUGAAGGCUUGACUGAGACUAGAGCAUGCACUUCUCAGAUGGCUUUUACCCACAUGGCUGUUACCAGCCAGUUCCUCACUGCUUCUUGGCUCAGUUUCAGCUCCUAGCCACAUGGAUGGCUCCAUAGUGCUGCUUGAAUGUCCUCAUGACACAGAAGUUGGCUUCCCUCAUAGCUAGAAAUAAAAAAGAGAGGACAGGUGGAAAUUACGUAUGAGAUUUCUGGAUAAUUGUAACCUUUGCAAGGUCAAGUGAAAGCUGCCAGCAGUUGAAAUUAAUCUACUGUUUUCUUCAAAAUCAGGAUAUUCACAGUUAGGAACCUAUGCCCUGAGGUCCCAUCUGGGCAAGAUGGCAAGCCAGGCAUCAGCUUUAUCCUCUAAAUAAAGUUCCAGUCUUUUUUCUUGUCCCUUUGCUGUUAGAAUCACUGGUGGCCUUACCACUAACCUUCCUUCUCCUCACUCCUUAUCUUCAACUUACUUCUUGCGGGUACUCUUUGUACUUUUGUCAUGGGGAACCAGGGCCACUGAAACCAUAAUAAGCUUUAGUAAAACAAGGUCCCAGGUGCUCUGGCCUUCUUACGUUUUACCUCCCCCUCUUCUUUUAAAUAACCAAAUACAG